UACGAAGGGGGGCUAGCGUUGUUCGGAUUUACUGGGCGUAAAAGCGCACGUAGGCGGAUCGAUCAGUCAGGGGGUGAAAUCCUAGAGCUCAACUCUGGAACUGCCUUUUUGAUACUGUCGAUCUGGAGUAUGGAAGAGGUGAGUGGAAUUCCGAGUGUAGAGGUGAAAUUCGUAGAUAUUCGGAGGAACACCAGUGGCGAAGGCGGCUCACUGGUCCAUUACUGACCGCUGAGGUGCGAAAGCGUGGGGAGCAAACAGG
rnacentral:rRNA from 1 species